UUUUCUGGAAAGGGGUUGAUUAAUAAGAAACAGAAUCCAUGAGCUUGGUGAUUCAUAAUAACUUUACGGAUCGCAUCUCUGAUGCGACAUAUCAUUCAAGUUUCUGACCUAUCAGCUUUAGACGGUAGGGUAUUGGCCUACCGUGGCUAUGACGGGUAACGGGGAAUUAGGGUUCGAUUCCGGAGAGGGAGCCUGAGAAACGGCUACCACAUCUAAGGAAGGCAGCAGGCGCGCAAAUUACCCAAUCCUGACACAGGGAGGUAGUGACAAGAAAUAACAAUACAGGGCCUAACGGUCUUGUAAUUGGAAUGAGUGAAGUAUAAACCCCUUUACGAGUAUCAAUUGGAGGGCAAGUCUGGUGCCAGCAGCCGCGGUAAUUCCAGCUCCAAUAGCGUAUAUUAAAGUUGUUGCAGUUAAAAAGCUCGUAGUUGGAUUUCUGUUGUAUAAUUUAUAAUAUUACCAAGGUAAUUAUUAUAUUAUCAACAUCCUUCCUAUUAUAUUCUAAAUAUAUAGGAAAUUUUACUUUGAGAAAAUUAGAGUGCUUAAAGCAGGCAACUGCCUUGAAUACUCCAGCAUGGAAUAAUAAGUAAGGACUUUUGUCUUUCUUAUUGGUUCUAGGACAAAAAAUGGUUAAUAGGGACAGUUGGGGGCAUUCGUAUUUAACAGCCAGAGGUGAAAUUCUUAGAUUUGUUAAAGACGAACUACUGCGAAAGCAUUUGCCAAGGAUGUUUUCAUUAAUCAAGAACGAAAGUUAGGGGAUCGAAGACGAUCAGAUACCGUCGUAGUCUUAACCAUAAACUAUGCCGACUAGAGAUGGAGGGGUUACUUUUUCCUAUCG
rnacentral:rRNA from 1 species